GUUUUUAUGGUAUGUUCUAGUUCAGAAUUGCAUGUUGCUUGUCUCUUUUUAAAUUAAAUUUUGCAGAUUUAGGCAUGGAUGUGGUCCACAAAAUUGAAUUUCACGUUGCUCGUCUCUUGUUAAAUUGAAUUUUGCAGAUGUAGACUUGCAUGAUGUCCACAAAAUUGAGUUUCGUGUUGCUUGUCUCUUGUUGAAUACAUUAUUUUGCUAAAAAUAAGUCUUUAAAUUGGCCUUUUAGUUCUAAAUAAAAUGUGGUGAAUUUGGUUUUUUCGCUUUGAGCUAUUCCAAUGAUUCCAUACUGCCCUUUACUCAGGUUUUUACAGCUGCUGCCGCUGA
rnacentral:misc_RNA from 1 species